CUGUAUUUUAUAGGUGGAAAUUCAAGUGAGGAAGCUUUAUUGUGUUAACAAGGCUAUUCCUGUACUGCCUAUCAAUAUUGAAGACGCAGCUAGAAGCGAGGCUGAAAUUGAAAAGGCUCUGCAGGCGGGCGAGCAACUUGUUCGUGUAAAUCAGGACACUCGCCUGAAUUACAGGGUUCUUGACUUGCGCACUCCUGCAAAUCAAGGAAUAUUUGAAGUCCAGUGUCAAGUUGAGGAGAUAUUUAGACAAUUUUUGUUAUCCAAAGGUUUCCGUGGGAUCCACACACCUAAACUGAUUGCGGGUUCUAGUGAAGGCGGUGCUGCUGUCUUCAGAUUGGAUUACAAAGGAACGCCUGCAUGCUUGGCACAGUCACCCCAGCUUCACAAACAGAUGGCCAUUUGUGGUGGUUUUAACCGUGUGUUUGAAAUUGGCGCAGUAUACAGAGCAGAAGAUUCUUUUACUCAUCGACAUCUGUGUGAGUUCAUUGGUCUUGAUGUUGAAAUGAGGAUUAAGAAGCACU